ensembl:snRNA U6 U6 spliceosomal RNA
GUGCUCACUUCAGCAGCUUGUGUCCUAAAACUGGAACAAUACUGAGAAAAUCAGCACAGUCACUAUACAAGGAUGACAUGCAAAUUCAUGAAGGGUUCCAUGUUAAA